rnacentral:ncRNA from 1 species
GUAGCCUUGCCGCUUCGAGGUUCUCGGGUGGCUGUCUUUGCCCAUCCGAGCUAAGACGGGAACGCGGUAAAGGCCGCGGCUGCCCCCGCAACUGUAAGCACCGAAGCACAUCGACACGGCCACUGCGCAGCUGCGGGAAGGCGUCGAUGUCCAAGCUCUUGAUGAGCCCGGUGCAAGCCAGGAGACCUGCCUCGGACGGCUUUCGACU